rnacentral:rRNA from 1 species
GUCCUUUUGAUUAAAAUUAAAGGUCUGAUCUGCCCAUUGAAUUUUAAAAGGCCGCAGUAUUUUGACUGUGCAAAGGUAGCAUAAUAAUUAGUUUUUUAAUUGAAAGCUGGAAUGAAUGAUUUAAUGAGAAAAAUACUGUCUCUUUUUUAUUUAAUAGAAAUUUAUUUUUGAGUUAAAAAGCUUAAAUUUUAUUAAAAGACGAGAAGACCCUAUAGAGUUUAUAUAUAUAUUAAUUAAACUUAUUUAUUUUUUUUUUAUUUUUUUUGUUAAGUUAUAUUUUAUUGGGGUGAUAAGAAAGUUUAUUAAACCUUUUUUAAAUAAAACAGUAAUGGCUGAAUUAUUGAUCCUUUAUAAUAUUAUUAGAUUAAAUUACCUUAGGGAUAACAGCGUAAUUUUUUUGGAGAGUUCAUAUCUAUAAAAAAGUUUG